ensembl:snoRNA
UUCUUCAUUCCUAAGAAAGUAACCAUAGUACACACAAGAAGACAAGUAACUGCCCUAGAUUGCAAAUACUGGGGUGGACCCUUUUCUUAAUGUCCAGUGUCCUUUGUCUAAAGAUUUGGUACAAUAUGU